rnacentral:rRNA from 1 species
ACAAAACCACAGGUCUCUGCAAAGCCGUAAGGCGAUGUAUAGGGGCUGACACCUGCCCAGUGCCGGAAGGUUAAGGGGAGCGGUUAGCUGCAAAGCGAAGCUGCGAACUGAAGCCCCGGUGAACGGCGGCCGUAACUAUAACGGUCCUAAGGUAGCGAAAUUCCUAGUCGGGCAAAUGGAAAUGAACCCGUACUGGCUGAUAACGGUGAAGCCUUACCUCGUUGCGAUGGCUACUAGGCAUCGUGUUAAAGAGCAGGUAAUACCGUGGGAAGUCGCCCUGAGAAUAAGGGUUGACCCCGUAACGACUGAAGCGAAGCAUACGCUAAGCUGAGAUGAUGAACCGCAAUAACUAAACUAUGGUCGUCAUCACACGCCAGAACUUUUUCCAGAGAGUAAAGAAGAUGGAUCUCAAAGCGUACUUGAGUGGUUUUACUGAUGGUGAAGGUUGUUUUUGCGUUUCGCUCAAUAAAAGCAAACGCCAUAGUUUGGGUUGGGAAAUUCGCCCAAGCUUUUCGGUGAGUCAGAACCGUGAACGAUCUGAAGUACUUGAGUUGUUAAAGCAGACGUUAGGUUGUGGCAAUAUCCGUCCAGACCCAUCAGACAAUACCUUAAAGUAUGAAGUGCGUAGUGUGAAUGAUUUGGUGGAGCGGGUGCUUCCGCAUUUUGACAAGUACCCUAUCCUUUCGAGCAAGCGACGAGAUUACGAUCUCUUCGCUGAGGUUUGUCGUAGGAUGUAUGACGGCGAACAUUUGCAGGCAGAAGGUUUCGAUCAAAUUGUUGACCUCGCUUUUCAGAUGAAUCCAUCGGGCAAGCGUAAGUACUCUCGAGAAGAAGUUAAGCUAUAGUCUGCGCCACUGGGAACAGUGGACGACAAGCGAAGUUCCGACCCGCACGAACGGUGUAACAACUGGAGUACUGUCUCAGAGAGAGACCCGGCGAAAUAGAAGUGGCUGUGAAGAUGCGGCCUACCCGCAGCAGGACAAAAAGACCCCGUGGAGCUUUACUAUAACCUGGCAUUGUGUUAGGACUUGAUUUGCGUAGCAUAGGUGGGAGACGUUGAUCCUGGGAUUUUGGUCUCGGGGGAGUCACAAUGUGAAAUACCACCCUAAUUAAGUUUUGACCCUAACCUCAGACCCUGAUCGGGCUGGGGAACCGUGCCAGGCGGGUAGUUUGACUGGGGCGGUCACCUCCUAAAGAGUAACGGAGGUGCCCAAAGGUUCGCUCAGGCUGAAUGGAAACCAGCCGUAGAGUGUAAAGGCACAAGCGAGCUUGACUGUGAGGCCAACGCGCCGAGCAGAGACGAAAGUCGGGCUUAGUGAUCCCACGCUACCGAGUGGAAGGGGCGUGGCUCAUCGGACAAAAGCUACCCCGGGGAUAACAGGCUGGUGAUAUCCAAGAGUUCACAUCGACGAUAUCGCUCGGCACCUCGAUGUCGGCUCAUCGCAUCCUGGGGCUGUACAAGGUCCCAAGGGUUGGGCUGUUCGCCCAUUAAAGCGGUACGUGAGCUGGGUUCAGACCGUCGUGAGACAGGUCGGUCUCUAUCCGCUGUGGGCGUAGGGGAUUUGAAGGGAUCUGCUCCUAGUACGAGAGGACCGGAGUGGACAGACCUCUGGUGUGUCAGCUGUCGUGCCAACGGCACCGCUGAGUAGCUACGUCUGGCAGAGAUAACCGCUGAAUGCAUCUAAGUGGGAAACUCGCCCUAAGAUUAGAUCCCCCGUGACGUCAAGUCAGAAAGACCGCAGGUAGACUACCUGCUUGAUAGGCGACCUCGUGUAAGCUCCGCAAGGAGUCAGCGAAGGCGUACUAAUGGUCGAGGGCUUAAUUC